UAAAGUGUGUGGUCUGCAGUGGCCAACGGGACCCCGGAAACGCGCCGCGCGUGUCGCCAGCGCGCUGCAGCUUCCAGGAAGCGGAACGAAUGAAGUUCAUUUCUCACAGCUGGUGAUGGCGGAUGCUAUCGAAAUAGAGACCAUGAAGAAUUAUAACAUAGCGUUUGAGAGGAUAGACCCGAGCAUAAGCCGCUAUCCCUACUGUAUUGUAUGGACGCCAAUCCCCGUAUUAUCAUGGCUGUUUCCAUUCAUUGGCCACAUGGGCAUCUGCACCUCCACAGGAGUGAUCCGUGAUUUUGCAGGUCCAUACUUUGUCUCAGAAGACAACAUGGCAUUUGGAAGACCAACAAAGUACUGGAUGUUGGAUGCAAGUAAAGUAUAUGCCAGUGGAUCUAACGUGUGGGACACAGCAAUUCACAAUGCAUCAGAAGAGUAUAAACAGAGAAUGCACAACCUUUGUUGUGACAAUUGUCACUCACAUGUUGCCAUGGCACUGAACUUGAUGCGCUAUGACAACAGCACCUCAUGGAAUAUGGUGAAUCUCUGCCUACUCUCACUCAUUCAUGGCAAACACGUCAGUUGCCUAGGCUUCCUGAAGACCUGGCUUCCAUUCUGCAUCUUAACCAGCGUCAUCCUGGCUGUUGCCCUGUCUCUAAACCUGCGAUGACCGCGCAGGAUCAGAUAGAGGUGGGGCGGCUCAGGGUGAGUGGGCACAAAGUCCAGUGCCCAUCGGGGACCCAUUUCUUCAGCUUAAGGGGGACUCCAAUGAAUGUCAACUUGAAGUCCAGCUCUUCAAAGCGUAGAGGAGCUCAACAUCAAAAAUCAAAUGCUAAACCUCUUUCUCGUAGGGUAGAGACAGCACAUACACCAUGGCUUCAACGUCUUGUGGUGAUUAUUGCCAAGAGCAGCAGGUAGCCAAGUGUCUUGAGCUCUUUGGAGACUCUUCAGAUGGGCUGCUGUGUGUGAGGAGUGUGUGGCCCCUGCUGGCACCGGCUAGAGCUGAUCAGAUUAGAAAGCCUGUGUGAAGUGUGACGUUCUUACCGACUGCUUUCCUGUCUUCAAAGACGUGAACUAGUGGAUCAGAAGCACAUUUGACUGUUUUAAUAGUCACUGCAGCCCAGUAGUUUCCAUUUCCUGUUUGUAAUCCCUAAAGAUGAGGGCAUUUCACAGGUUUAUACUUUUAUAAAACAUUCAUUCAUUCACUGAAAUCUUUCUAUGGUUACAAUGUCUAUGUAAAAUGUUAAAAUUCACAUGCCACUUUCCACAAAUAGGGUAGAAAAGGGCCUGAAAUUAUAUAUAAAAGAUUUUAUUUUCCAUGUUACAAACACUUGGUCCUGGACUAAAUCUAGUUUAUAAGACCUAAUUUGUUAAGAAAUGUAGGGUUUUCAACAGGCUUGCAAAUUGUCUUCUUUGGGACCAAUAGGGGAAUCAUGUGGUGAGCUUAAAAUGUGACUUUUUUUUAUUUUUUUUUAAAGGUUUUUCAUGUUAUGUUAAAUUUCUGUGCUCUGCCUUUAGACAUCAGGCUUCCCUAUAUGGAAAGUGGCACUUCAAUUUUUUUGAUAGAUUUGUGGCAUUCGAAUAGUUUUAUUAGCAGAUUCCAUAUCUAUCCAUAUCUUAUCUAUGCGUAAAAAUGAGCUGCAAAUGUUUUCCUUUCUGUUAAGCUCAGCAUUACAUUAUCUUUGCACAAUUACUAACAAAUAGACUUUUAAUAUUUAUGAAACUAUCACCUCAAACCUUCUGCAGCUGCAUUAGUGUGUUUGAACCAGUGCGUGUGUGUGUGUGUGUGUGUGUGUGUGUGUGUGUGUGUGUGUGUGUGUGUGUGUGUGUGUGUGUGUGUGUGUGCACGUGAAUGUUUGCUUAUUAGCAUGUUCUGCUCUGUAAGCCAGUACGCACGUGUCUGUUACUGAGAAAGUAUGAUAUUGGCGAUUUGUAUUUAACACUUAAUAGUUCUGGGUUUCUUAUUUAUUGCUAAUAAUCAAAUGCAUUUUAAUAUCAGGUUAUUAGAAUCUUUGUAAUGAUAUAUUUUGCCUUCUAGAGAACUGGCUGCAUGUAUUUUGCCUUCUGGCUGUAGUAUGUGUGGUAUGUUGAAUGUUACAGAUAAAUAAGAGAAGCAGAAUGCUUUUUCUUUCUUUCUUUCUUUCUUUCUUUCUUUCUUUCUUUCUUUCUUUCUUUUUUUUAAGCCUGAAUAACGUCAACCAUUAAGUAGAGCACAUGGAACAACUACAAACAGGGUAAAAUAAAAACACUUCUCAAGGCCUUUCUUACUCCAGAUGAGUUACCACUUAAUUUUAUAUUCAUAAGGCAAUAACCUUAUACACUAUUCUGUAUUCAAUAUAAGAAGGUGAAGAAAGAUUACUGUGUGCUUAAUCUGAUUUAAUUUUAUAAACUGUGCAUCAGUUUAAGCAUUGUUGCAGACCAGAUCCUUUCAUGGAAACGGUAUUCCCUGGUGGCUGUGGUCUCUUUCAUCAGGAUACUUAUAUUGGUCUAUUGGUCUUUCAUUGUCUUUUACUUUUCCUUUCUUUUACUCCAAAGCACCCAGUAAUGGGGAUUUUAAAUCGAGUUAUUGAGUUCGCACAAUGAAUUUCCUCAUAGCCGAGUCUGUGUCCAUAACAAGACCACCAAUGGCAAAAGCCAAUAUCCUGCCAUCAAAAACCAAUGGAAACGUAAAAUCAUCUUCUAAAUCCUUUAAAGUUCCCAGUUUUGUAUAAUUAUCAUCAAAUUUCAAACAGAUUCUGCCAACAAUAUAAUGUAUAUUUAAUGUCCAUGCAUUAUUGAUAUCAAUAAAAUGUUUACUAUUACUAUA